rnacentral:lncRNA from 1 species
CUUGUACUUUAAAGACUGCAAGCCAGACUGGUACAAAGAAGUCCUAGCUUCAGAGAAUUAAGCCCUGAGGCACAAAGGCCAGAUCUGUACUUGAAAAAGCUCCUUUGUGUUGCUACGCUGGCAAACUCUCCUAGAAGGAAUGAAGCAUAGGUAAUGCCACACAGAGGAGCAAGAGAGUUUUAAAAUAGGUAUUUGUACACCAGGACUUACAUGGAUAAAAGAGAGGCUGCAUAAAAGCUGUUUGGUCACUGAAUAACCUUGCUGCACAGGCAAAAAUUUCCGAAUGGCCAAGCAGAGGCAGGUCUGAGCAGAUCAAGUUCCAUCCAGCUCUGGGAGCCAGGCUGAGACCUCACUGUAAGGCAUGGAGAUGCUGCAGAGGACUCUCUCAACUGCAGUGUGAUGGUGACAUCUGCUCUGGUCAAUAAAGGCUUCAGUCUCUGCUUCAGAUGCCAGAUGAGUCAUCCAUGAAACAUCCAUUAGGACACAGACCUCAGGUGUGAAAAAAGACAACAAACACUGCGGAGACCUUCUGAAGUAGAAGUGAUUUAAGCCAUGAUACCUACUUGCUUAGAAAUAACUGAUAAAAUCAGUGAUAUGAUUUCUUGUGAUAGCCUGCCUGUUUUGAGGCAGGAAGAUGCAGCCUUGAAAUGUCAGAUUCAAUGCUAUUAACCCUGUAGUGUUGUGCUAACAGAUAGCUAUUUGAGCAAGAGUAUUGUGCCAUCUGUCUGGAGGGUAGGAGUUAAACACCUGUCUGAAUUCUGCCUGGAACAGUAUUGGGAAUGGUGCUGAACACGGCGUGGAAAGGAAAUUUUCUCUGGAGGAAAUGCACGUUGGCCACAUAGAAGAUGGUGCUGACCCAGUUGCUAUUGGGAAUUUGGUGAUGCAGAGCAUAGAGGCAGCAAUGGAAUUUCACUACCCUGAGGAGGUGCUGAGCACAUUCAGAUGUCUUCAAAGACAGUGAGGUACCCAGAGCACCAUGCAUCCCCCUGCAC